CAUUUGGGCGAAGGAGUUGCACUUUUGUGAUGUACUCAUCGAGAGGAUCUUUUUGAUAUAUGCUAUGCAUAUAUUCGUCGACGUUUCCAGUACCGCCACCAACCGCUAUAGUGCACCGCUUGGGUAAGGUUCCGGAACUUGAAAUUUUAAAUAUGGUCAUAUUAUAUGUCAUUGGGCACGAUUUUGAAUAAGGAAUGCUAUGAUGAUAAUCGUUUGCUCAUUUGGUGCACGUAGGAAAAACGUGAUAUUAAAAUCGGACUAAAUCCUUCUAAGAUCAUCGAUAAGCUUAGGAGCGUUGCUUUGGGCUCGGAUUAAAUUCUAAGGAGAUAUCUAAAGAGGAGCCUAGUGACGCGAACGUGGAAAUGAUGAAUUAUCGAUGGAGCCAAUGUGUUUAGCCUAUUUCUAUUUCGGGUCAUUGUCUUAUCUUUUGAGCAUUAUAUAUGUAUUCGACUUCGAAUCUAAUGAUCGGUAUAUCUGAAUGAGCUAUGAAAUAGUUAGGGAUGAGGAAUGGUGGAUGCUAAGUAUUAUUUUGAGUGUUUAUGACUUAUUAAAUUUAACUAUUUGGUGAUUACAUAA